rnacentral:rRNA from 1 species
UACACUCCUACGGGAGGCAGCAGUGGGGAAUUUUGGACAAUGGGCGAAAGCCUGAUCCAGCAAUGCCGCGUGAGUGAAGAAGGCCUUCGGGUUGUAAAGCUCUUUUGUCAGGGAAGAAACGGUGAGAGCUAAUAUCUUUUGCUAAUGACGGUACCUGAAGAAUAAGCACCGGCUAACUACGUGCCAGCAGCCGCGGUAAUACGUAGGGUGCAAGCGUUAAUCGGAAUUACUGGGCGUAAAGCGUGCGCAGGCGGUUUUGUAAGUCUGAUGUGAAAUCCCCGGGCUCAACCUGGGAAUUGCAUUGGAGACUGCAAGGCUAGAAUCUGGCAGAGGGGGGUAGAAUUCCACGUGUAGCAGUGAAAUGCGUAGAUAUGUGGAGGAACACCGAUGGCGAAGGCAGCCCCCUGGGUCAAGAUUGACGCUCAUGCACGAAAGCGUGGGGAGCAAACAGGAUUAGAUACCCGGGUAGUCCC